UGGUCUCUGCUGUGUCCUGGCCUUGGGGUCUGUCGGCACCACACAGAGACCCAGGGGUCCCCAAACCCAGGGGAUUAUUUCUGUUUGUGACACAGAAACUCAGCUGGGCACCAGGGUCUUCCCCGUGUCCUCAAAUGCUCUGGGAAGGUUGGAUUUACUUCCAGCAAGAAGGUCACAGAGAUGACUCUGGGGAUGAGGAAGGGGCAAGCUGAGUGAUGACUGGUGAGGGGACCGCCCUCCAUCUCUAGUGUCAUCAACCUGGCCUCCACUUCCAGGGACAAACACUCGGUAAGGGUAUCUCAGGAAUUUUAGUUCCGGGGUGUGAAAGGGGAGGUUUUCUGUAUAUCCUGGGUGAGAGGAUGGUGGUGGUGGGAGGUCAGGUGGCUGUGGGCUCCCUGGUCCUCAGGGGAAGGUUUCAGGGAGACCCUCCCUCUCCAUGUGUGUUGGCUGAGCUGUGGCUCAGAGCCUGUCCCUGUGCUCCCUGACCAUCCUGAGGUCCUCUGACUUCUGCCUCACUGGCUUUCCUGUGGUUACCCCACCUUCCCCAUGCGUGGUGCCAGGCAGGUUGUAGGAAGCCACACAGGGACCCCUGGAAGAGCAAGCUGCUCUGAGGCCCCUAGAAGGAAGAGGGCAGGACACAGCAGGCACAUGGGAGGGGCCCGGAAGGGUCUGUUAGAGGAAGGGAUGGAAAUCAGGCUCCUUCUCCACCUCCUCAGCCAAAACCAGGUUCAUAUGUUAAUUUUCUAUGUGUUGUCUUAUGUCCCAAUGUCACCCCCUGGAGGGCAUGAAGAGACCUGUGGCUGAUAUCAGGGGCUGAACCAUGUGUGAUGACCAGGCUCUGAAGUGUGUGAGCUGGCCCUCAGCUCUGGACAGAGGAGUAACACACAUGUCCUCACAGCCCUCAGAUGGAAGCCACCCUGUCAAAAUCCUGAUCUCAGACUUCUAGCCUCCUGGACUGUAAGACAAUAAAUUUCUUUUUGAUUUAA